AAACAGCCCCAUAUGUUUUGAUUCUUUGGCAGUUUUGGACCCCCAAGACAAAAAAAAAAAAAAAAAAUUGACACGUGGCACCUCACUUAGGGUGCCACGUCAGCGUUGACCGAGUCAACAAUGGACUGGGGGUCCAAAAUUGCCAAAGAAUCAAAACAUAGGAGGCUGUUU
rnacentral:pre_miRNA from 1 species